rnacentral:rRNA from 1 species
GGGCCCGCACAAGCGGUGGAGCAUGUGGUUUAAUUCGAUGAUACGCGAGGAACCUUACCAGGGCUUAAAUGUAACGGGACAGAUCUAGAGAUAGAUCCUUCUUCGGACUCAUUACAAGGUGCUGCAUGGUUGUCGUCAGCUCGUGCCGUGAGGUGUCAGGUUAAGUCCUAUAACGAGCGCAACCCCCAUCGUUAGUUGCCAACGAGUAAUGUCGGGAACUCUAACGAAACUGCCGGUGCAAACCGUGAGGAAGGUGGGGAUGACGUCAAAUCAUCACGGCCCUUACGUCCUGGGCUACACACGUGCUACAAUGGUCGGUACAGAGAGCAGCCACUACGCGAGUAGGAGCAAAUCUUCAAAACCGGUCUC